rnacentral:rRNA from 1 species
UACGGAGGGUGCAAGCGUUAUCCGGAUUCACUGGGUUUAAAGGGUGCGUAGGCGGGCAGGUAAGUCCGUGGUGAAAUCUCUGAGCUUAACUCAGAAACUGCCAUGGAUACUAUUUGUCUUGAAUGUUGUGGAGGUAAGCGGAAUAUGUCAUGUAGCGGUGAAAUGCUUAGAUAUCUGGAGGAACACCGGUGGCGAAGGCGGCGUCCUGGACCAAUUCUGACACUGAGACGCGAAAGCCAGGGGAGCGAACGGG